CUCGGUGGAUGUUAACUGAAGUAGAUAUUGGUGAUGUUCAAUGGAUAUAAAUAUGAGAGGAUGCUGGAGAUUAAUCACUACCACUUAGAAUUGUUAAUGUCCAUUCAGAUUAACAUCAACAGGAACAUUUGCAUGAAACCUCUAUAUGUGCAUUAGAAUUAAACAGGGAAACAAAACAUUAUCAUACAGGCUACAGAAAGCUCUUCAACAAAAACCAUCUGAAAGUGAGAUACAGCUGUACCUCGAGAAUGAAAAAUAUUACAAAAGGAAUGCGAACCAAAUUUAUGGAAGUUAAGUGCUGGAACACCAACACAUGACUAAUCAUGCAGGACAAAGGUGAUGAUAUAUUUGAAGCAGAAGUUAUCUCUACUAAACGAAACAGGAUAAAGGACUACAUUGGUAUUUGUGGAAGUUUUUCAUAGCGUCUGUUGCCAUUAAUAGCUGACAAGAAUGCAGUGUAGCUCUUCGCUCCAACAUUCGAAGUGCCGAG
rnacentral:lncRNA from 1 species